UACGUAGGGGGCAAGCGUUGUCCGGAAUUAUUGGGCGUAAAGCGCGUGUAGGCGGCUCGGCAAGUCUGCUGUGAAAGUCCAAGGCUCAACCUUGGAAAGCCGGUGGAUACUGUCGAGCUCGAGUCCGGAAGAGGCGAGUGGAAUUCCUGGUGUAGCGGUGAAAUGCGCAGAUAUCAGGAGGAACACCAAUGGCGAAGGCAGCUCGCUGGGACGGUACUGACGCUGAGGUGCGAAAGCGUGGGGAGCAAACAGG
rnacentral:rRNA from 1 species